rnacentral:rRNA from 1 species
CCUACGGGAGGCAGCAGUGAGGAAUAUUGGUCAAUGGACGAGAGUCUGAACCAGCCAAGUAGCGUGAAGGAUGACUGCUCUCUGGGUUGUAAACUUUUUUUACAUGGGAAUAAAACGCUCCACGUGUGGGAUAUUGUACGUCUCACAUGAAUAAGGAUCGGCUAACUCCGUGCCAGCAGCCGCGGUAAUACGGAGGAUCCGAGCGUUAUCCGGAUUUAUUGGGUUUAAAGGGAGCGUAGGUGGAUUGUUAAGUCAGUUGUGAAAGUUUGCGGCUCAACCGUAAAAUUGCAGUUGAAACUGGCAGUCUUGAGUACAGUAGAGGUGGGCGGAAUUCGUGGUGUAGCGGUGAAAUGCUUAGAUAUCACGAAGAACUCCGAUUGCGAAGGCAGUUCACUGGACUGCAACUGACACUGAGGCUCGAAAGUGUGGGUAUCAAACAGGAUUAGAUACCCUAGUAGUC